GCAGCGCGUGGGUAGCAGCAGCAGCAAACUCCGACAGCAGCUACAAACAGAGGGAGUAUACAUCAAAACUCACUGCGGCAGUGACGGAUUAAGAGGUGUUGAAAGGGUUGAUUUUGCGGGAUAGACAACUGAGGAAGCUCAACAUCAAAAAAAGUUGAUACAAGCUUCUUUCAUCAAAGUAGGAGAUAAGAUCGAUUUGUGUC